UGGGGAAUAUUGGACAAUGGGGGCAACCCUGAUCCAGCCAUGCCGCGUGUGUGAAGAAGGCCUUUUGGUUGUAAAGCACUUUAAGCGGUGAAGAAGACUCCAUGGUUAAUACCCAUGGACGAUGACAUUAGCUGCAGAAUAAGCACCGGCUAACUCUGUGCCAGCAGCCGCGGUAAUACAGAGGGUGCAAGCGUUAAUCGGAAUUACUGGGCGUAAAGCGAGCGUAGGUGGCUUGAUAAGUCAGAUGUGAAAGCCCCGGGCUUAACCUGGGAACGGCAUCUGAUACUGUUAGGCUAGAGUAGGUGAGAGGAAGGUAGAAUUCCAGGUGUAGCGGUGAAAUGCGUAGAGAUCUGGAGGAAUACCGAUGGCGAAGGCAGCCUUCUGGCAUCAUACUGACACUGAGGUUCGAAAGCGUGGGUAGCAAACA
rnacentral:rRNA from 1 species